rnacentral:misc_RNA from 1 species
GCAAGUAAAAGUCGUAACAAGGUUUCCGUAGGUGAACCUGCGGAAGGAUCAUUCAUAAUAAGUGUUUUAUGGCACUUUUUUAAAUCCAUAUCCACCUUGUGUGCAAUGUCAGGGUUGAUUUUUCUCUCGAGAGGAUCAACCCCAAACAUCAACUACAUCUCAACUCUUUGUCUGAAAAAUAUUAUGAAUAAAACAACCCAAAAUACAACUUUCAACAACGGAUCUCUUGGCUCUC